UCAACAUAAUAAUCCUCCUUCGACAUCGAAAGGCAAGAGACUGGGGCGACUCGGGCGAAACCUUGCGCGCCGCCGCCCCCCUCCACUUAGCCCCCGCCCCCCUCGCCGCCGUCGGGCGUCACCGCCGGGCAAAGCCCGUGCGGCAGCCGGCGGCGGCGGGCCUCUCCUUGCUCUGCCGUGUGCGCUGGACGGCCCUGGACGGCUCGGCGUGCUUCGCGGGGCCGCGCGCCGGGGCGGAUCUGGCCUCCUGGCCUCUUCUGCUGCGCGGUGGCGCUGGGCGCUGGGGCGGCGGCCCCAGACUGCGACAGCGUCGUCCUCCCCUCCUCCUCGCAGUGGAGUCGUGGCGGCGUGCCGGUUGGCGGUGGAUGCGGGCUUCGUGCCCGGAUCCGGCGGGGCGCAGGCCGUCGGCGGGAUGCGGCGGCGCUGGCCGUCCUGGGCCCCGCGGGCGGCAGGGCGGACGCGCGUGGUGGUGGGCCGGUGGCUCGGGGCGGCCGUGGGUGGAUCUGGAGCUGCAGCUUCCGGCCUCCCUAGCUUGGCGGAGCUGUUUGGCAGAGCCGGCCCUCUGGGAAGGUGUUGUGGUGUGCCCCGGCCGGCGUGGUGCCGGUUUGGGCUGCUGGGCACCCCGGGUUGUGGCCUCUGCAUGGUGCGGGUGGUCCUGCCGGGGGCUGUGUUCGCGGCGCUACUUCCUCCCAGACCCGGCUUGUGGAGCGUGGUGGGCUGCAAUGGUUUCUGCAGCCGGUGGUGGUUGGCGGUGGCGUGCUGCUUUGCGUGCUUGGUCACGUAGCUUGGGGGAGGACGGUCGGCAUGUUGCCGGAGACGGUUUGCUGGGCAGGCUGUGGUGAGGAUGGACUUGGUGAGCUCCGGGCGAAAGCCUAGCUCGACCUCGGUCGUUGCCGGCGUCGACGGCGUCCUAGGACGUCGUUCCCUCCUUGGAGGCGUCGUCGUGGAGCCCCUUCACCACCAUUGUCGCCUCGGUCUCGGGCUCUCCGGGUGAAAACCCAAGUUUCGACCUUGGUCGGAGCGGGCGUCGGCGGCGUACUUGUCGCUUCCCUCUUGGGGGCGAUGCCUUGGAGGUCUGGUCCUUCGUCAGGUCGCGGUGGCUCGGGUGGCUUUGCGGGUUCAUCGUCGGCCAGGCGUGUGCGCGGCCUCGGGGCCGGUGAGGAAGUCGGAGCGGCGGCUCCGGAGAACAAGGUUGUGGAGUGUCGGAUCUGGUCGCGUGGGCGGCAGCGUCGUCGGCUCAGGUGGAGCGCGGCCUCGGGGCCGGCGGGGAAGUCGGAGCGGCGGCUCCGGAGAGCACCUCUGUGCUGUGGAGUGUCGGUUCUGGUCGCGUGGACGGCAGAGUCGUCGACUCGUGUGGAGUGCGGCCUCGGGGCCGACGUGUGUGAGUUUAAGUGGUUUGUAAGCCGGAGUGGCGGCUCCAGGUCGUGUGGUGGGGUGGCAACUCUGGUCGUGUGGGCGACAGGGAAGUCGGUUCGUUAGGUACGCAGCCCCGGGGCUGGUGUGUGUUGAUGUAUCGGUUUUCGGCUAGUUUUCCUUAUAAACUAGUCAAUUCUCUUCUUAAUGCAAAGGCAGAGCUCCUGCUGUUUCCUCGGAAAAAAAAAGGCAAGAGACUGCCGACUCCAGGUUCGGAAGGUGCUAUCCAAGGAUGCGAAAACUCGGAUUGUUCCUCCGGCCACUACACCGCAGCCCUGGCGUCUAAGCCUGCAGUGGCACCACCAGUCCCUCCUCUCUGUCUCUCCCGCCGUCCUAACAAACUGCCUCUUGUGUUUGUUGAUUUGCGGGCUUAUUGGUUUUGGUUCGGUUUGAAGGACUCUUCAAGCCUAACAUCUUUCUGGAAUAAUUGAGUUGUUGAAUCUGAAGGUGGCGUAAAACUUCAGUCGCCUUCGAUGGAGUGAAGGUUUUUUUUUUGGCAUGUGCACAGAGAGCCUGCUUGGUUGCUUAUGACCAGGCUGCUUUGUAGGCGAUCAAGUCCUUGCAAGAUGGUAAUCGGGUUUUUGCAUUCUAGGAUUACAAUGCCGAGUAAUCAACAACGAUGACGAUGCAGGUUUGUGAGUAAGCAGGUCAUCUGGACAAAUGUUGGAUAACCAACAAUGCAUAUUUUGUCAUGUAUGUUCUGUUUGGCUGCAAACUUAGAAUGACCAAGACAGCCCCAAAUUUCUCAGGUGCGAGUUCAUUACCAUGAAAAGUUGGGUGAAUUGUCAGUACAUCAGGAUUUAGAUGGCUGGCCCAACCAUCUCUCGGACCCAUGCUCCUGGAUACAUGAGUUCUGAUGUUUUACACACACAUCCUACUUGUGUCAUUUUUACGUAAUCUUGUAUAGAAUGCUUCAAAUUAAGUGACAUUGAAUACCAGUACUCUCAGGCGGCAACACAGGGCGGCGCCCCAACUGCUACUAUUUGGAGAGAUGGACUAUGCGCUUAAGUUUCCCUUCUAUACCACGCUCGAACGUCUAGACCGCAAGUGGAACAUCAUACAUUCUGAUGCUAGAGGUUCUCACAUCCGGAAGACACAAUACUUGCCAUAUGGUAUCAACCAAGAACUUUUUGCUUUGGCUGAUGAAGAUUUCACAUUCUCUCAAUCUAUCCACUAGGAUGAACUUCUGCAUCUUGAUAGGUGGGUGAAAGAAAACAAGUUGAACCAGCUACAAUUUGCACAGAAAAUGACAUAUUGUUAUCUAUCUGCUGCUGCUACAAUUCCCCCCUGAACUUUCUGAUGCUUGCAUAUCUUGGGCCAAAAACGGUGUGCUCAGAACCAUUGUUGAUGAAUUCUUCGAUGUUGGAGGAUCAAAAUAACUAGAAAACCUUCUAGCAUUGGUUGAGAAGUACAGUCCUUCAACUUGACGUCUUCUAUCUGCUCUUUUACAAAGUAGUGUGUCUUAGACAUUGCUAAUGAGUCAUGUUUCUGGUUUUGCCAAUGGUAGAUUGCUAACAUAGAGCACCCCUUAAAAAACUACUAAUAUUUGCAUGUGCAACAUAGUCAUGAAAAAUUAGUCUGUCUGUACGAAGUGCAAAUUGCAGACAUACAUAUGUCCGAAUAAAUUAAGUGCAUGUUUUGUUUUGUAUAUAUGGUGAACUGGUGGUGUAUGUAAACAUAAACCAUGUAUCAUAUGGACCAAAUUUGCCUCC